GAGCGAGGUUUUAAAAGCUUGCUUUUAAAACCUAGCGGCGGACGGGUGAGUAACACGUGGGCAACCUGUCUGUAAGACUGGGAUAACACCGGGAAACCGGUGCUAAUACCGGAUAAUCCUUCUUCUCACAUGAGGGGAAGCUGAAAGACGGUUUCGGCUGUCACUUACAGAUGGGCCCGCGGCGCAUUAGCUAGUUGGUGGGGUAACGGCCCACCAAGGCGACGAUGCGUAGCCGACCUGAGAGGGUGAUCGGCCACACUGGGACUGAGACACGGCCCAGACUCCUACGGGAGGCAGCAGUAGGGAAUCUUCCGCAAUGGACGAAAGUCUGACGGAGCAACGCCGCAUGAGCGAAGAAGGCCUUCGGGUCGUAAAGCUCUGUUGUCAGGGAAGAACAAGUACCGGAGUAACUGCCGGUACCUUGACGGUACCUGACCAGAAAGCCACGGCUAACUACGUGCCAGCAGCCGCGGUAAU
rnacentral:rRNA from 1 species